rnacentral:rRNA from 1 species
GAGUUUGAUCCUGGCUCAGGAUGAACGCUGGCGGCGCAUUUAAGACAUGCAAGUCGAACGAAAAAUUCUCACCGAAUGAAGAUUGAAGAUUUAUCAGAUGUUGGAUUUCACCGAGAAUUUUUAGUGGCGGACGGGUGAGUAAUACGUAGAUAAUCUGCCUUUUAGAGGGAAAUAACAAGAGGAAACUUUUGCUAAUGUCCCAUAAGACCACACUAUGGCAUCUUAGAGUGAUCAAAGGAGUAAUCCGCUAAAAGAUGAGUCUACGGCUGAUUAGCCAGUUGGCGGGGUAAGAGCCCACCAAAGCUGUGAUCAGUAGCCGAGCUGAGAGGCUGGCCGGCCACAUUGGGACUGAGACACGGCCCAGACUCCUACGGGAGGCAGCAGUUGGGAAUAUUGGACAAUGGAGGAAACUCUGAUCCAGUGACGCCGCGUGAAGGAAGAAGGUCUUCGGAUUGUAAACUUAUUUUGUCAGGGAAGAAAAAAAUGACUGUACCUGAAGAAAAAGCACCGGCUAACUACGUGCCAGCAGCCGCGGUAAUACGUAGGGUGCAAGCGUUAUCCGGAUUUACUGGGUGUAAAGGGCGAGUAGACGGCGAUGCAAGUCAGAUGUGAAAUGCUAGGGCUUAACCU